CCCCCAACCGUCGUCUUGUUCUGAGCUCGAGCUGAUUGAGAAGGUUUUGGGUCUGUGUGGCCUCACGUCCAGAAGGAAGAUGUGUAUACGUCUCAGUAGUGUCUUAACAGAGCCGUUAUUGGAUAUACUGGACCUGUCUGUGUUACACCUCCGGCAAUGGAUUUAACUUGUCUGUACACCUGUCUCUCUUCUGUCAUCUCACCACAACAGCAAACGGAGUAUAAGGACUCCGAAGACGAUGUCCAGAUGAGUCAGCUUCCGCAGGACAUAGAAAAACUACCAAACCUCAACAUUCUUAGAAUAACAGAAAACUUUGGCCAACCCAGUGCGUCUCUGGGGCAUUUUUUUGUCAUACAGACUGAAAGCGUCAGACUUAUUUGUAAGUGGUGAUGGAGCAGCCUUCCUGUAGUAUUCUUACGCUCCAUACAGCCACAGUAUCUGCUCUCCCGUGGACACGGAUAUGACGCGGUUUGCAUUGCUUGAGGCCGACCAGUCCCCUACUCGGCCUCCUCCUCUCGAAGUAUGAAGAGCGACAGCAAGAACAUUUUCAAAUCACGAGUGCUUUAUAUAAACUAAGUAAUAGUCGCAUGUUGUGUUCGACCAACCUCUCAUGUCUGGUUUUUCAUCUGUAAUGAAAUUAUGGUAAAUAUUGUUUUCCUCUAAAUGCCGAUUGGCAAAUGUGGAUGAUAACGUUGAUUACUUGUACACUGCUGUCUUGUUGUCUAUUGUUACACUGUCUGCUGUCACGCACCAACCGCCAAGACAAAUUCCUUGUAUGUUUGACAUAUUUUGGCAAUAAAUGUUUUCUGAUUCCUGAA
ensembl:lncRNA